UCCCAGACUCCUACGGGAGGCAGCAGUGGGGGAUAUUGCACAAUGGGGGAAACCCUGAUGCAGCGACGCCGCGUGAGUGAAGAAGUAAUUCGUUACGUAAAGCUCUAUCAGCAGGGAAGAAAAUGACGGUACCUGACUAAGAAGCCCCGGCUAACUACGUGCCAGCAGCCGCGGUAAUACGUAGGGGGCAAGCGUUAUCCGGAUUUACUGGGUGUAAAGGGGGCGCAGACGGCAGCGCAAGCCAGGAGUGAAAGCCCGGGGCCCAACCCCGGGACUGCUCUUGGAACUGCGCGGCUGGAGUGCAGGAGGGGCAGGCGGAAUUCCUGGUGUAGCGGUGAAAUGCGUAGAUAUCAGGAGGAACACCGGCGGCGAAGGCGGCCUGCUGGACCGCUACUGACGUUGAGGCUCGAAAGCGUGGGGAGCGAACAGGAUUAGAUACCCUCGUAAAG
rnacentral:rRNA from 1 species